UGAGGAAUAUUGGUCAAUGGGCGAGAGCCUGAACCAGCCAAGUAGCGUGCAGGAUGACGGCCCUAUGGGUUGUAAACUGCUUUUAUAUGGGAAUAAAGUGAGGGACGUGUCCCUUAUUGCAUGUACCAUAUGAAUAAGGACCGGCUAAUUCCGUGCCAGCAGCCGCGGUAAUACGGAAGGUCCAGGCGUUAUCCGGAUUUAUUGGGUUUAAAGGGAGCGUAGGCUGUUUGUUAAGCGUGUUGUGAAAUGUAAGAGCUCAACUUUUAGAUUGCAGCGCGAACUGGCAGACUUGAGUGCGCACAACGUAGGCGGAAUUCAUGGUGUAGCGGUGAAAUGCUUAGACAUCAUGACGAACUCCGAUUGCGAAGGCAGCUUACGGGAGCGCAACUGACGCUAAAGCUCGAAGGUGCGGGUAUCGAACAGG
rnacentral:rRNA from 1 species